GUAGUAUUCCCUCCGUCCCAAAAUUCUUGUCUUACAUUUGUUUAGAUAUGGAUGUAUCUGACACUAAAAUGUAACUAGAUACAUCCGUAUUUAGACAAAUUUAAGACAAGAAUUUUGGGACGAAGGGAGUACAAA
rnacentral:pre_miRNA from 1 species